GAUGAACGCUGGCGGCGUGCCUAAUACAUGCAAGUCGAGCGAACAGACGAGGAGCUUGCUCCUCUGACGUUAGCGGCGGACGGGUGAGUAACACGUGGAUAACCUACCUAUAAGACUGGGAUAACUUCGGGAAACCGGAGCUAAUACCGGAUAAUAUAUUGAACCGCAUGGUUCAAUAGUGAAAGACGGUUUUGCUGUCACUUAUAGUUGGAUCCGCGCCGCAUUAGCUAGUUGGUAAGGUAACGGCUUACCAAGGCAACGAUGCGUAGCCGACCUGAGAGGGUGAUCGGCCACACUGGAACUGAGACACGGUCCAGACUCCUACGGGAGGCAGCAGCAGGGAAUCUUCCGCAAUGGGCGAAAGCCUGACGGAGCAACGCCGCGUGAGUGAUGAAGGUCUUCGGAUCGUAAAACUCUGUUAUUAGGGAAGAACAAAUGUGUAAGUAACUAUGCACGUCUUGACGGUACCUAAUCAGAAAGCCACGGCUAACUACGUG
rnacentral:rRNA from 1 species